rnacentral:rRNA from 1 species
GACGAACGCUGGCGGCGUGCUUAACACAUGCAAGUCGUACGGUAAGGCCCUUUCGGGGGUACACGAGUGGCGAACGGGUGAGUAACACGUGAGUAACCUGCCCACAACUUUGGGAUAACGCUAGGAAACUGGUGCUAAUACUGGAUAUGUGCCCCUGCUGCAUGGUGGGGGUUGGAAAGCUCCGGCGGUUGUGGAUGGACUCGCGGCCUAUCAGCUUGUUGGUGGGGUAGUGGCCUACCAAGGCGGCGACGGGUAGCCGGCCUGAGAGGGUGACCGGCCACAUUGGGACUGAGAUACGGCCCAGACUCCUACGGGAGGCAGCAGGGGGGAAUAUUGCACAAUGGGCGCAAGCCUGAUGCAGCAACGCCGCGUGCGGGAGGACGGCCUUCGGGUUGUAAACCGCUUUCAGCAGGGACGAAGCUUUUUGUGACGGUACCUGCAGAAGAAGCACCGGCUAACUACGUG